rnacentral:lncRNA from 1 species
GCCCGAUAAAGUGAUCCCCGCGUUGGCGCCACACAUAAACGUGUUGGCGGCCAUCACGGGGACGACCCUCAAUCUCUUCCACCUCGUCAUCGGAGGCCGCCCGGGUUUCCUCCUGCGCUGCGCCACCCCCGGUGGUGGUCCCAGGUAUUACUGGCCCUCGGACCAGACCUGGGGAGCCUGCAGCCGAAGAGGUUCCUGCUCGGGGUGGCGUGGGGACUUCACUCCCCCCGACAGGAGGAGCGGUCGGGGAUCUUCCCUCCUCUUCUGUGGAGCCAGCUGGGGGAGCCUCUUCAGCCCUGGUCGGGCUGCCUGUCGUAGUCGGUGUCGCGGUCGGGAGCCCCUCGGUGCUCCCAGGCGCGACUGCAGCUGUAGGCUGCUCUGUGGUCUGGGGGGCCGUAUCUUCAGCAGCGCGGACGGGCUCGCCCGUCACCUCGGUAUCCACUUAAAAAAAAGAAAAGAGAAAAAUGAUAGCCCAUGUUCCUCUAAUAAGCAAUAUGCCAGCAAGAGUUGACAAAGAUUUUAAUUUCCAAAGUCUUUGAUCUAAGAGUAUGACAUUCCCCUCCUCGGAUCCCGUUUUGAUCAGGCAAUAAAUGCGAAGUAUGCUUGAGAAUUUUUGCAAAAUAAAACAACCUUAGUGAGAUAUAUAAAAGAUAAUGAGUGAUCUGAGAGAAUCUAUGAGGAUAAAAAGGUAUGCUAACUUUCUUUCAAAAAUACACAAAAACUCCAAGUGACAGGAUUGAGAAGAAAGGAUCUUUACUCUUGACCAUAAACAUCCCUGACUAUGGUACACAGUGGAAUUUUAACACCCUGCAAUUAUAAAGAGAAUGUUUUAAAUGUUUACCCCAGAUAUUGUUCUUAACCAUACUUUUCUCGAGGACGAGUAAAAGCCUAAGUAUGGGGGUAUUUGUUGACGGUUCUUAAGUAUUAAUUUUAAUUAUCAAAUAAACAAGAGAAAGGUCCAAUAUGCAACCAACACCUAGAAUUAGGGUUUGAUCUGACAGAAUUCCGCGAGUUUUGUUGUUUAUCUGUUUCUGCAGGGGGUUAUCAGGAAAUAAGGAAGAAAGGCCCACAUGUCGGGAUUACAUAGAGAUAUCAACGCACCGCGCGAUUUUCUAUCAUCUAGAAGACUCCAGAAGCCAC